rnacentral:sRNA from 1 species
UAAAAUAUGUUACAAUAUAACGAACAGUAAAGUUUGUGACGGUGGCUAUCUUUUGAAAGGUGGUGGUGCUUAUGUAUGUAAGUACUAAAAUCUGUGGAAGGAGAAGCCUUUUGUCUGUAGCUGAAGCAUUAGGGCUAAUGAUUAGUUUCGGUUCUUUAAUCGCAACAAUAAUCUUUGGCAUCCUAA